GGGCCGGUAGCUCAGCCCGGAAGAGCGACGGGCUUUUAACCCGUAGGACCCGGGUUCAAAUCCCGGCCGGCCCGCCA
rnacentral:tRNA from 1 species